rnacentral:sRNA from 1 species
AAAUAGCCCCGAUUGCAGCGGCAUCCUUUUUCUUUUGAAAAAAGAAAAAGAUAUAGCGGAAAGCGGGACUUCAC